rnacentral:rRNA from 1 species
AACGAACGCUGGCGGCAUGCCUAACACAUGCAAGUCGAACGAGACCUUCGGGUCUAGUGGCGCACGGGUGCGUAACGCGUGGGAACCUGCCCUUCGGUUCGGAAUAACUCCCCGAAAGGGGUGCUAAUACCGGAGAAUGUCCUCGGACCAAAGAUUUAUCGCCCUUGGAUGGGGCCGCGCUGGAUUAGCUAGUUGGUAGGGUAAAAGCCUACCAACGCGACGAUCCAUAGCUGGUCUGAGAGGAUGGUCAGCCACACUGGGACUGAGACACGGCCCAGACUCCUACGGGAGGCAGCAGUGGGGAAUAUUGGACAGUGGGGGAGAGCGUGAUGCAGCAAUGCGGCGUGAGUGAUGGAGGCCUUAGGGUUGUAAAGCUCUUUUACCCGGGAUGAUAAUGACAGUACCGGGAGAAUAAGCACCGGCUAACUCCGUG